UCUGAUACAAUCCCCAUAGGGGAUUCAGUAUAUUAACCUCAUUUUUGAACAAAGGUGGGUGUACGGAGCUCGCUCCGUCCCCGCUAAGGGUCGACCCGGUUCUUGCAGUACCUCGGGUUCGGCCUAUAAUAG
rnacentral:snRNA from 1 species